GCUGCCCAUGGUGCAGGGUCAGGACUGGUGAAAAAGUGGAGGGAAAAUGUGCCCUGGAUUCUAGUUCCUGCCCUACGUAAGGCAGCCCACCAGGGUACCAUGUGGAGGCAUGGCCCAGGUAACCACCUCUCCUAUUUGGUAGCACUGGAUCCAAGGACCAGAGGUCUUGCUGAAGGAACAGAUGUGAUCUCACACGAGUGUAAUCUUGCCAGCAAAUAAGAAGCAGUGUGAGCUGGAAGGACAGACCUGAGCAGCCCUGUGUGUGGGAGGUGCCCUGCUUGCUAAUUGCCAAGCAGGUAUGAGCUGCAGGCUUG